GGGCCUGUAGCUCACCUGGGAGAGCGCCUCCAUGGCAUGGAGGAGGUAGCCGGUUCGAUCCCGGUCAGGUCCACCA
rnacentral:tRNA from 1 species